rnacentral:tRNA from 1 species
GCGGCUGUGGUCCAGCGGCUAUGACAGGGGCUUCCCAAGCCUCUAACCCGGGUUCGAUUCCCGGCAGCCGCAC